CACUCUUUUUUUUUUUUUUUAAAUCAGAGAGUUCUUUUUUGCUCUCUCCCACUCCCUUUUCUACUAGGGUUUUGAGACCCAUCAUCGCCGCCGUCAGCUCGCCGUCCAUCCACGGCGAGUGGUGGUCAGAGUCGCGUGAAAGUGGGGGUUUUUAUCCCCCGUUUAAAAUGCCCGAAGGCCAUGCUUUCUCAACCCGAAAGCCCGAGAGAAGAAGGCCUCCCCUCUCCCUUUGGACUCGGUCUCGACGGCGGAGAGGGGCUUCGACGCGCGUCCCAGGGGCGAUUCAGGUGAUUUCAGUGGCGUCUGACGUGCGUGGAGGCGGCGGUAGCGUGCGGGGAAGGAGCAGUAGAGGCGUACAGUGGUCGAAGCUAGGUUUUUUUUAUUUUGUUUAGGUUUGGGUUAAUUGGGCUAGGGUUUAGGUCAUCUUGUUUGGCUUGCUUUUGGUCUUGAUAUGUAAUGGGUUUCAAUUUUGUAAUUUGGACUUUUAUACUUUGAAACUUUUAUUUAUUUAUGUGUUUGGGUCUUCUAGUAGGCUGGAUAAAUUUGGGCUCGUACAAUAUUUACUUGUCGUUCCCACCAAAGUCUUGUCUUGGAACCUAUUAAUAUUGUAUUGAAACUGAAAAAAAAAUAAUUGAAAGUAAUUAAAAUUAGUUAUCAUGAAA